rnacentral:rRNA from 1 species
GCGUUGGGAGCUCUCCCAUAUGGUCGACCUGCAGGCGGCCGCACUAGUGAUUAGGCCUUCGGGUUGUAAACUGCUUUUGUACGGAACGAAAAAGCUCCUUCUAAUACAGGGGGCCCAUGACGGUACCGUAAGAAUAAGCACCGGCUAACUACGUGCCAGCAGCCGCGGUAAUACGUAGGGUGCGAGCGUUAAUCGGAAUUACUGGGCGUAAAGCGUGCGCAGGCGGUUAUGUAAGACAGAUGUGAAAUCCCCGGGCUCAACCUGGGAACUGCAUUUGUGACUGCAUGGCUAGAGUACGGUAGAGGGGGAUGGAAUUCCGCGUGUAGCAGUGAAAUGCGUAGAUAUGCGGAGGAACACCGAUGGCGAAGGCAAUCCCCUGGACCUGUACUGACGCUCAUGCACGAAAGCGUGGGGAGCAAACAGGAUUAGAUACCCUGGUAGUCCACGCCCUAAACGAUGUCAACUGGUUGUUGGGAAUUAGUUUUCUCAGUAACGAAGCUAACGCGUGAAGUUGACCGCCUGGGGAGUACGGCCGCAAGGUUGAAACUCAAAUGAAUUGACGGGG